ensembl:lncRNA
CUCAGUUGUGUCUGAAUGGUACUACAAGUUCUCAUCUUUUUUCCAGACAUUUUAACGUCGUUCAAAGUUAAACGUGCAAACAAAAACCUAGUAGAGUAAGUCAAAAUCAAAUGUAUGGCUGAAAAGCGCAAGUUAAUUACAGUUUUAAUCAGAAACAGCAGGAGCCUCCUGUUCCAUGUUACUCCACUGGCAGCUCGGCAGCGCCCCGAAAUUUUUCGUUUCAGACAACUCAUCUGUCGUAUAGUUCCACGUUUAAUAAACAUUUAAAAUCCAUCGUUUUGACCCAAAAUGUUUUUGAAAGGUAACCACUUAACCUCAUGAACUCCACGAACCUGCUCAUGAAUCCAGUUUUGCAUUGUUUUCUUCUCAUAACUUUUGUAUUAGUUUCAGGAUCUCAUCAGAGUCAUCAGUCUCCGAACUCUCGUUAAAGUUAUAAGGCUAACGGUAAUACUCAGGACAGGGUUAGAGUUCUCUAGUCAAAUCCAUAAACCCAAGGGCUUUUGGGAAAUCAAUCAUUCCUUCACAUAAAUGUCUAUCUGCAAGGUUCCAGGGAGAAAAACCAGAUGAGUUCAUGGAUUUAUUAUCUGCUGCAGGAUGUCAUGAAUAAUUACUGAGGAAACCACUGAAUCCAUCAAGCUGAGGGAAAUGAACAGCAAAAAAAAUGGACUUUUGUUUCCAGGGAAUCGAUCGGGCACGUCGGUUUUCGUGACAAACUCGUCAUGACGACUGAGCCGUAAUGAGAGUAUCAUAAACCUGGAUGAUUGUGUAAGUAGACUGUGUGCUGGUAGAAUCAGAUGAAAAUAGAUAGAGUGGAAAAAAAAAUUACAAUAGCGAUAGCAGACGAUUACGGACCGAAUGUACUGAGGUGCAGCAAAGGGUUAAAGUGAGACUUAAUGAUUCUUAAAAACUUGGAGAGGGUACAGCUGUGAGUUUUCUGAUUGUAUCUGCAGUGUGAUGGAUAGCAAGGACCGAAAUCAUGGUCACUGCAUUACAGAAACAGUCAUGUCCACAGGAAAAAUAGUAAGAGCCAAUAACAUUUCAUCUUAACAGAUCUAUAUUUGAUAGAUAUCAUAUAGGUAUUAUAGAGGUCAUAAUGCAUUAUAUAGGUAGCAUAUAGCUCAUAAUGCAUUAUAUAGGUAGCAUAUAGGUCAUAAUGCAUUAUAUAGGUAUCAUAGAGGUCAUAAUGCAUUAUAUAGGUAUCAUAGAGGUAAUAAUGAAUUAUAUAGAUAUCAUAGAGGUAAUAAUGCAUUAUAUACAUAUCAUAGAGGUAAUAAUGCAUUAUAUAGGUAUCAUAGAGGUCAUAAUACAUUAUAUAGAUAUCAUAGAGGUAAUAAUGCAUUAUAUAGAUAUCAUAGAGGUAAUAAUGCAUUAUAUAGAUAUCAUAGAGGUAGCAUAGAGGUAAUAAUGAAUUAUAUAGAUAUAAUAGAGGUCAUAAUGCAUUAUAUAGGUAGCAUAGAGGUCAUAAUGCAUUAUAUAGGUAUCAUAGAGGUAAUAAUGCAUUAUAUAGAUAUCAUAGAGGUCAUAAUGCAUUAUAUAGGUAUCAACUAUGUUAUAAUGCAUUAUAAAGUUAUAUAGGUAAUAAUGCAUUCUAUAUAAAUUAAAUAUAUAUUAAUGUAUUGUAUAGGUGAUAUCGUAUCAACUCACCGAUCAUCGGUGUCACUGUCCGAGUCACCUACAAAUUCAACUUUAACCCCUGGGUGCAUCAUGGGAAAAGAAUCAACCUGACUACACUGUAAACAGCUGCAUUUAAAUAGACUCUGAUGAAAUUAGCAUCACAGAAGCAGCGACGUUCACACAAAGUGAGCUUUUAAAAGCUUUUACUCCGUCACUUUUUAAGCUUAAUAUUUAAUUACGCGCUCGUUCUGAUACGUUAUCGUUUCUAUAGUAACGGCUCGUUCAAAGGGACGGCGGACGCUCCACAUGAGCACACAAACAGAAUCCACUGAUAUGCUGAUUGGUGAUAAUCACUGAUGUGGUAAAUUAGGCAAGAAAAUCUUAAAUGAACAUUUAAGAUUUAAGAGGCUGGAGAGGCAAUGACCGUGUUUAGUGGCUAUAUUGUAACCAACACUAAAUGUAACUAUGAAAUGAUAGAAAGGGACGAUGUUGUUUAAUAAAUGAAAAACGUAAUCAUUGGUAUAAGAGGAAUAAAACACUUCAGUUUUAGGACCAUCGUUAACUGUAGGCUGGGAACAGUAACUAAAAAAAAAACAAAACAAAUCACAUCACACCAUCGUUGAUUAUUCUCCCAUAACAGCAUGACACCAAGAGUUAAAUUCCUCACGUCAGUGACUGAUUUAUCAUCGAAUCCACCUCUUAUUGCUUAAUUUAUCGUUUUGCUCGAUUUCACAUAUCCCACAUGUAUCGGACAAGAUUCGAUGAUCUUGCGUGUUUCAUUUGUACGAAUGAACUCUGCCAUUCUUCAAACGUCAGAAAAAGUUCAGCGCUAUCACGAUCUGACACGAAACGUCGUGUUUAUCCAACGAAACGCUUCCAAAACAUUCGAAUCUAUUUGUUUCCUUCCUGCCAGUGUUGCCGUUUUGUUCCCUUAAGGAAAAGGUCUGAGAAACAGCAGGAAGAAAGUGGUCAUUUCCACCGCCCACACACACACACACACACACACACACACACCAACAAAUAUACACAAUAUCACCGAAGACAGGCGUGAGUCAGAGAGAAAAGCCGGUAAUAUCACACUCUCUGUAGUUUCACUGAAAACAACACUUUUUUUUGUCUUUUAAUCCCGAGGCUGUAGAGAAGUCAUGGAAGAGCAGCGGGGUGUGACGGACUGAUAGAAGUGUGCGUCACGGUCUAAUCUCUCGUCUCUCUCUCAGAACAGUACACUGAAAACCCUGACAAGAUGACUGUACUCAAUUGAUUGAGUAAACCCGUUCCCUCGAUUUGACGGAG